CUCUCGGCAACGGAUAUCUAGGCUCUCGCAUUGAUGAAGAACGUAGCGAAAUGCGAUACUUGGUGUGAAUUGCAGAAUCCCGCGAAUCAUCGAGUUUUUGAACGCAAGUUGCGCCCGAAGCCAUUCGGCCGAGGCACGUCUGCCUGGGUGUCACGCAUCGUUGCC
rnacentral:rRNA from 1 species